AACCACUUCCCAAACACCCACUUUGACGUCCAGUCCAUGCCCAGCCCUAGUUCCUCUCUCUCUCUCUCUCUCUCUCUCUCUCUCUCUCAUCUAAGAUCCAGAUCGUGAGGUAGAUCAAAAUCCAAACCCCAUCGCCAGUCGCCACUCCUUCGUCGGAGCUGUGUGUGAAGUUUUUGGAGACUUCGUCGGAGCAUCAGUGGUGGGAACCAUGGAAACUACGUUACAUGUUCAUCGUCAAAUUUGAUUUCAUCAAGCUUUGUAAAACCAUUGCCACUCACUAGUUGAAGUCAAUGGAAACUACUGCUGAAUGCACUCUGCCACCAUUGGUUUGCUUCGUCAAGGGUAAGCUUGUGCACAAUUGACCCAGGAGUUCUUUAGAGAGAACACACUGCGUCUAUUAAUUUUGUCUUCCAAAAUUGAGUUGAUUUUCUUAUUGAGUGCUAUAAAUGGACUUCGUCUACUCAAUUUAACUGUCAGACUUAGUGAUUCAUGUCUCUCUCUUUUCUAUACCGCAACAAUAUUUAUCACAGCAAUAUUUCUCUUUAUUUUGAUCCAA